GCCCGGUUGGCGGAAUUGGUAGACGCGCUAGACUCAAACUCUAGUACUGUAAGGUGUGCCGGUUCGAUUCCGGCACCGGGUACCA
rnacentral:tRNA from 1 species